rnacentral:sRNA from 1 species
GUGUAUUGCGCGUGGAGGCUGCAGUCACGGUGGCGCCCGCGGGGACGGAGGAGGGAAUGAGUGAAGAGGAGCAAGGCUCCGGCACUACCACGGGCUGCGGGCUGCCUAGUAUAGAGCAAAUGCUGGCCGCCAACCCAGGCAAGACCCCGAUCAGCCUUCUGCAGGAGUAUGGGACCAGAAUAGGGAAGACGCCUGUGUACGACCUUCUCAAAGCCGAGGGCCAAGCCCACCAGCCUAAUUUCACCUUCCGGGUCACCGUUGGCGACACCAGCUGCACUGGUCAGGGCCCCAGCAAGAAGGCAGCCAAGCACAAGGCAGCUGAGGUGGCCCUCAAACACCUCAAAGGGGGGAGCAUGCUGGAGCCGGCCCUGGAGGACAGCAGGUGAGGGAGGAACCGAGGCAUCCCAGAAGCCCUUCAAGGAACCCAGGCCCUGCACCACCCACUCUGCCCUGAGGCCUGGCCAGGUGACACUUAGCCACCCUGACCUGGCCUCUUCCUGAGAGUCCCUCUGGACCUGAACAGGGUUUUCCAGGGCUUCUGCUGCUAUGAAGAAUUCUUGGGGUGGAGGGGUUGGUUAGCCCCAUAGAGGGGUUGUGGCAGUAGGUUGGGGCCUGGGUUAGGGAGGGAGAGGGGUAGAGGCUUGAGGCUAAAGGGAGUUACUCCCCAACAUACCUCCUUGUUCUAGCAAGAUGUCCUUCCUUCACGCGCAGGUUGGAGUUUGUUGCUCCUCUGGUUCUUGGGUACAAAGAUACCCUCUUCUCUGAGACUCUCUUUUCUCAGUCUUUUCGCCGGUGUUUGGCAGCAAAGGAUCCGAGGAGGAAGCUGUUGGUUGAGCCUCCCUGAUUCUUUGGCUCAAUUUGGAAGUUCUCUUAGGGGAUUGGGAGGUCAGGAGGACGUGGGUCCCCCACCCCUCUCUUCCCCCUAUACAUGGGUGUGAAUCAAAGGCCCCC